rnacentral:rRNA from 1 species
GACGAACGCUGGCGGCGUGCCUAAUACAUGCAAGUCGAACGCAGCGGGGACGGGUGAGUAAUACGUGGGUAACCUCCCAUCAGAGGGGAUAACACUUGGAAACAGGUGCUAAACCGAUACUGAUGGAUGGACCCGCGGUGAAUUAGCUAGUUGGUGAGGUAACGGCGCACCAAGGCCACUAUGCAUAGCCGACCUGAGAGGGGGAUCGGCGACACUGUGACUUAGCCACGGCCCAGACUCCUACGGGAGGCAGCAGUAGGGAAUCUUCGGCAAUGGACGAAAGUCUUACCGGACAACGCCGCGUGAGUGAAGAAGGUUUUCGGAUCGUAAAACUCUAUUGUUAGAGAGGCGGUAUCUAACCAGAAAGCCACGGCUAACGACGUGCCAGCAGCCGCGGUAAUUC